CCAUUCCAGUAAGAGGCCCGGAGAUGAAAAAGAGUGAUAUCUAGAUAUUCCAUGGGAGCUUAGAACUAUCCAUGGAAAAAGAAAAGCGUACCUUGAAGAUAAAGACAGGGAGAUGACGAUGGCAGUGCGCAUGAAGAGCAGAGAAAAGCAAGAACUUGGAGAAGACAGAGAGAAUUCAAAAUUCAAAAUGACAAUAAGGUGAAAGGGUGUUUUGAGGCAAACUGUACUUAAAUGACGCGGUCAUAAUGAUUCUUGGUAUUUACCCCCUCGUCAGUCGGGCAAUAACUGACGAGAAGGUAAAGGAGCAAUUGAUGACCGCUGGAUUUCUC
rnacentral:lncRNA from 1 species